UUCUCUUGUGUUUGGAAGUCCAAAGUCCCUCCUAAGAUUAAAAUUUUUCUUUGGCAAGCCUUUCGUGGUCGCCUUCCGGCUGCUGAUCAGAUUAAAAAGCGCAAUGGGCCUGGCUCGAAGUUUUGUCACCUUUGUGGGGCCUUGGAGAACUCGGAUCACAUCUUUUUCAAUUGCAUGCUGGCCAAGUUGGUUUGGUGCUGUGUCAGAUCUUGGUUACAGGUUUCUUGGAACCCCUCCUCAUUCUCCGAUAUUCGAAACCUAGUCAAAGUUUUGGUUGGGGUUACCAAGAGGGUGUUUUGGGUCGGACUGGGAGCCUUAUGCUGGGCUCUUUGGACUAUUAGGAACAAAUUUACUACUAAAUAUAUCUUCCCAUCUAAGCCUGCUGACGUUCUUUUUAAAUCAUGUAUAUUAUUGUAG
rnacentral:rRNA from 1 species